rnacentral:rRNA from 1 species
CAGCAGUGGGGAAUAUUGCACAAUGGGCGCAAGCCUGAUGCAGCGACGCCGCGUGAGGGAUGACGGCCUUCGGGUUGUAAACCUCUUUCAGCAGGGAAGAAGCGCAAGUGACGGUACCUGCAGAAGAAGCGCCGGCUAACUACGUGCCAGCAGCCGCGGUAAUACGUAGGGCGCAAGCGUUGUCCGGAAUUAUUGGGCGUAAAGAGCUCGUAGGCGGUCUGUCGCGUCUGCUGUGAAAACCUCAGGCUCAACCUGGGGCUUGCAGUGGGUACGGGCAGACUAGAGUGCGGUAGGGGUGACUGGAAUUCCUGGUGUAGCGGUGGAAUGCGCAGAUAUCAGGAGGAACACCGAUGGCGAAGGCAGGUCACUGGGCCGCAACUGACGCUGAGGAGCGAAAGCAUGGGGAGCGAACAGGAUUAGAUACCCUGGUAGUCCAUGCCGUAAACGUUGGGCACUAGGUGUGGGGCUCAUUCCACGAGCUCUGUGCCGCAGCAAACGCAUUAAGUGCCCCGCCUGGGGAGUACGGCCGCAAGGCUAAAACUCAAAGAAAUUGACGGGGGCCCGCACAAGCGGCGGAGCAUGCGGAUUAAUUCGAUGCAACGCGAAGAACCUUACCAAGGCUUGACAUACACCGGAAAAGUGCAGAGAUGUGCUCCCCGUAAGGUCGGUGUACAGGUG